rnacentral:lncRNA from 1 species
AUUUGGUAUACAGUGACAUUCAUAUAUAACAUGAUACUUAUAUGUUGUAAUUAUAUAAGUUUUUACUGAGUUUAUUCUAUUAAAGACAAUUUUGGGAAAAGUAUUACAUGUGAUAUAUGUCCUUUUUGUACAUGAUUUCUUAGACUCCAUGAGCAUGUUUGAUUAAAUGAUGAGUAUUAGCUUGCGUAAUGAACCCAAAACUUUUAGGAUUGCUAAGAUUUGAAACCCAUGAGAUAUAUAAAGUUUCAUAAGACUAGCGGAAAUACUAAUUUAAUCAUAAUUUUCUGGUGAGCUUGAUUUUGACAUAAUCCUAUCAAAACUAAAUAAAUGAUUAAUUUGAUCAGUGUAAUCUAUAUCAAAUACCAUUCAAAUUAGGAGGAGAAGAGAAGUUGUCUUAUUGUUAGCAAGUCUAUGAUAUAACUUUUUAUUAAGAUAUAAUGGGAAAAGAAUCGAGUGGUUAACACGACAUCUGUUCCUCCUUCCUUUCCCUACACACUUCUUCCUUUUUCUCCUUGUACAAAAAUAAUAGGCUCUAUCUGUCAUUUUCUCUCGCUUUUGAAGAAAUAUUGACUGUUGGAUGUGUUUUUUGAGCUAAAAUGCAAGGGAAAACACACUUUGAAUCUCCACAAUUAUAGGAAAGAGAUAAUCUUAAAAUGAUAAGAGCCCAGCAGUUGUCAAACCCAUAUAUGUUUAACAUACUACAGGUCAUGAUGAAAAGCUAAUGUACAUGAUUAUAGAAUAUAUUUGCACAAUACACUUCAAAUAUCUAGCCAGGUGUAGCAAAAUGAGGACUUGCCAUCUAGGGCCCUGAUACAUCGUGAAACCCGGUCAUAUAUCUUGGUGAAUGGUUUGUUAUAAAAGACUAUCAAAUAAUUUGAUAUGAGAUCAAAAUCUGGGACUUAUAUUCCAAGAGUCCCUAAAUGCCACUCCGCAUGAUAUUAGAGGAGAUUGGUGUUAUUUGUUAUGUAUUUAGAUUUGUCGUUCAUCAAAUAGGGUUUGACAUCUGGACCUUGUGAAACCUCAGCAAAUCAUAUCAAAAUGAGGUGUUAUUUUGCAGAUAUUGACGAUAAGACCUUAUAUACCUCUGGUCCAAGAAUUAUACAAAUUAGACAUCAUUUGAUACAUCAACGAAAUUCAUUGGUCGCCAUAAGAUUCCCUAACUGCCAUUUCCCUAAUGUUAUUAGGAGAUUGAUCCAAAACUUUUGGAAAGUCAUAUGUAGGUAUAAUAAUCCUCUCCUAAAGUUUAGGAUUAUUUGGAGAUUAUCGGACCCUUAUCUGUACCUAUCGGCAACCAAGGCUCAUAUCAGUCAUCUACGAGGUUUGUACUCAUGAGCUAGGUUGACCUCUCGGCACUAUUAUUGAGAUAUCUCCCAAUCUUCAAGUAGUUUUCUCAUGGGGCCUAGACCUUUGGGUUCUUGCCCCAAUGCCCUAUCAAUUAUGGGAGGGUGGCAAUCUAUGGAUCUGGCGUGUGGAUGCAAUUGAAGCUACAAUAGAAGUCAUAAAACUAUGCAAAAGCAUGAUCGCCAAACCUAAAUAUCUACUAAGAUAUGGAGCGUUUUGGCUCCAAAUUUUGUGAAGAUAUGCAUCAUGAGCCCUUCUACUAGAUUAUCAAGUUCACAGGGUCCAUAAGUCCGUGUGAUGAUACGAUUGUGCCCCCAAUGGUCAGUUCUACUGUUGAAAUAUACGAUAGAAAAUGCAUCAACUUUGAAUGGAAAUAUCUGCCUCGUUGCUAUUUUAUUUCAGGUGAGACUUGGAUUGUUGGAUUCGUCUUUAAGUCCUCUAUCAUCAUGUAAAUUUGAAGUCAAUAGAACAAGGCAUUAGAAAGUAGCAUCAAUUAGACUUAGCCAUGGUAGUAUUGCACACUGGUUUGAUUGAUGAUAGAUGUAGAUAUGCUUCAAAACCUAAAUCAAUGGUGUUCUGACCACUAUAGAGGUCUAAUGUAGCCCCAAUUUUCGAAAAAAAAUCAUUUUUUUUCCAUUAUAUGAAAGUUAAGGGGAAUUUGUCCCUCUAUAGGUUAGUUCUCUUGUUCCUUAAAUAUUCUUUUUCUUUAAAUAUUUUGGGGUCAUAAUAAUAUAUUUUCACAUACACAUUUUGGCAGACACGGACAAACUCUCUUCUUGGUUUUUGCGCAAGAAUCUCUUGAGUCUACUCCUCUGAGACUCAUGGAUUUGCAUUAUUUAUAUGUCUUCAGCUCAAGAAUAUGGCCUAACUAUGAGAAAGACACCCUCUAAUUUUUUAAAAGUAAGUGUAUUUGAGCGAAAAAGAAGCGAAGCCAUGGAGAAAUGUGAAUCAUUUUGUGAGGUAAGGAAUUUCUAUCUGCUCCAUAUUUAUUGGCUAUUGAGUUGUUAUUUUUGUUGUGACUUGUCCAGCAAGCCAACAAUGUAUAUAACGAGAUCUUCAUUUUACUAGUCUAAUUUUAUCGUAAAUUGAAGAAUAAUCUUACCGAUGGCAUCACGGUUGGACAUAUGAGUAUGUACUAACUAAUUAACAUUUCUUUAUUCACUAUUCAUUUUAUUCUCCUCUCUCUAAUGUUGUUUAUCUGAAUUGCUAUUUUGCCGGUAAUUGAUAGUAGGUCUCUGUCUCUCAUCCCAAUUAUGCGUGC